GUAAGUGAUGAUAAGGUGAAAUUUAAUGCGAAAUUCAGCAUUUGACGUUUCAUUAUGGAAAUGUUCAGAAAACUAAAUAGCUUUAUCGAUAAACUUGAGCUUGAUCCGAAAGGACCAUGUUAAUAUUCUUUUUCCUAGUUAUCUCCAGGGGUUGGAGGGUGGGGAAUGUGGGAGUGAGGGAGGGAGGGAGGGAAAGAGGGAGAGACGGAGAGACGGAGUGAGGGAGAGAGGGAGAGAGAGAUCUUCAUUUAUAUUCGGUUAACUCUUCAGUACUGCUUUACAAAUUGGGCGACAUUAUUAAGAAUAGCU